rnacentral:rRNA from 1 species
AUGACUUCCAUUGCCAAAUUCCCAAUUCCAGUGAUUGAAGAACUACUCGAUGAACUCCACGGAGCUGUCUGGUUUUCCAAGCUUGAUCUCCGAGCCGGAUACCACCAAAUUCGCAUUGCAGAAAGAGACGAAUUCAAGACAGCUUUUCAAACACAUUAUGGGCUUUUUGAAUUCUUGGUGCUCUCUUACGGCCUGGCUGGUGGUCCAACCAUGUUCAACGAUGCAGUGACGGGCACCCUCCAACCCCUCCUGCGCAAGUGUGUUCUAUUGUUCUUCGAUGAUAUCCUCGUCUUCAGCCGCACGCUCGAAGACCAUACAGCACACCUUGCGCAAGUUCUUCAGCUGCUAAAAAGGGACCAAUGGAAGGUCAAAGCAUCGAAAUGUUGUUUUGGUCAGAAGAAGUUGUCGUACUUGGGACAUGUUAUCAGUGCUGACGGAGUAGCGACAGAACCCAGCAAGAUUCAGAUCCUCUCUGACUGGCCUACACCAACAGACAUUAAAGAAGUGUGCCGCUUCCUCGGACUCGCGGGCUACUACCGCCGGUUCGUGCGUCACUUUGGAAUCAUGGCUCGGCCUCUAUUCAACUUACUGAAAAAGGGGACCCCAUUUGUGUGGACACAAACGACCGAAGAAGCAUUCCAGCUGCUUAAACAGGGACUCAUCACAGCACCGGUGCUUGCCCUCACGGAUUUCUCGAAACCAUUUGUGGUUGAGACUGACGCAUGUGAUGCGGGUGUGGGAGCAAUCCUCCAACAGCAAGGACACCCCAUUGCGUACAUGAGCAAGGCGCUCUGCCCCCGGUUCAGAGGUUUGUCAACUUACGAGAAGGAGUAUCUCGCUGUUGUGGUAGCUGUUAACCAAUGGCGUCCCUAUCUGCAACACAGUGAAUUUGUGAUUCAAACUGAUCAGAAAAGCCUUGUGCACCUUGAAGAACAACGAAUCACGACCCCGUGGCAGCAGAAAGCGUUCAAUAAGCUGUUGGGGCUACGCUAUACAAUCAGGUACAAAAAGGGAGUAGACAAUGGAGCAGCAGAUGCCCUCUCUCGAGCCACUCACUCUGAGCAGCUACAGACACUCUCUACAUGCCAACCAAGCUGGAUGGAAGAUGUGAUUAAUAGUUACAAUGCUAAUCCCCAAGCACAAAAGCUGCUGGAACAACUGGCCAUCCGAGCUGACCCCAAAGGCCGUUUCACCUUGGAGCAAGGCAUUCUGAGAUUCAGAGGAAGAAUUUGGCUUGGGGGUUCUACGUCAAUACAACAACAAGUGAUUGUUGCCUUCCAUGACACGCCUAUCGAUGGUCACUCCGGAUUCCCGGUCACUUGGCGGCGUGUGCGCCAGCUGUUUGCGUGGCCUAAAAUGAAGACACAUAUUCAACAUUAUGUCAGAUGUUGCAACACCUGUCAGCAAGCUAAACCUGAUCGAGCAGCUUACCCUGGAUUGCUAGAACCUCUUCCAGUUUCAAAAGAAUCUUGGGAAAUGAUCAGUAUGGACUUCAUCGACGGGCUGCCUCAAUCACGAAGUGUCAACUGCAUUCUGGUCAUUGUGGACAAACUGACAAAAUUUGCUCAUUUUCUGCCUCUGGCACAUCCCUACACAGCUUCAAAAGUGGCUCUGCUGUAUAUGAAUCAGGUCUACCGACUCCACGGAUUCCCUGGUCCAAUCAUCUUUGAUCGCGACCCGGUUUUUACUAGCCACUUCUGGCAGGAAUUGUUCAAGUAUGCUGGCACAGGGCUCCGCAUGAGCUCAGCCAAUCACCCGCAGACGGAUGGCCAAACUGAACGUGUCAACCAGUGCCUGGAAACCUUUCUUCGAUGCUUCACACACGCCUAUCCUUGA